rnacentral:rRNA from 1 species
UGGGCAACCUGCCCCUCUCUCUGGGAUAACCCCCGGGAAACCGGAGCUAAUACCGGAUACUCCGGUCGAACCGCAUGGCUCGAUCGGGAAAGCUCCGACGGUCUGGGAUGGGCCCGCGGCCUAUCAGCUUGUUGGUGGGGUAACGGCCUACCAAGGCGACGACGGGUAGCCGGCCUGAGAGGGUGACCGGCCACACUGGGACUGAGACACCGGCCCAGACCUCCGUACGGGA